CAUUCAGCUCUCACUUGACUUACUAGUUCCCUCUUUUAAAAAAGUCAAUUUUACUCACACUGUUUAUAACUGCCCAUGAGAUUAUAUUAUCCUUGGCCACAGUUGACUGCUUUCAGCCAAUCAGUUCUCAUUAAAAAAAUGUAAGCCACAGUAUAUAACACCUAAGUAUUCUCUAGUUUUGCUUCUUCGAGAGGUAUUUACUCAGCAUUUACUGACUGCUUUGACAUACUCGGGUAAUAGCACUUUUUUCCUGUCUUUUUCAGCAUGGGUG
rnacentral:lncRNA from 1 species